rnacentral:rRNA from 1 species
AUACGUAGGGGGCGAGCGUUAUCCGGAUUUAUUGGGUUUAAAGGGAGCGCAGGCGGAGAUGCAAGCGUGACGUCAAAUUUCGGGGCUCAACCCCGUCUCGCGUCGCGAACUGCGUCCCUUGGUUGCGGGAAGGGGAGGCGGAACUCGUGGUGUAGCGGUGAAAUGCGUAGAUAUCACGAAGAACUCCGAUCGCGAAGGCAGCCUUCCUGCCCGUCAACGACGCUCAUGCUCGAAGGUGCGGGUAUCAAACAGGAUUAGAUACCCUGGUAGUCCGUACAGUAAACGAUGGACACCCGCGGUUUGGCCUAUAUGGCUGAGCCGCCAAGCGAAAGCGUUAAGUGUCCCACCUGGGGAGUACGCCGGCAACGGUGAAACUCAAAUGAAUUGACGGGG